ensembl:lncRNA
GGAGAGGCUGGGUGUGAAGGUGAGGAAGAGGAGAAGGGAGGCCACAUGGAGAAAGAAGAUAAGAGGGAGGACAAUAUAGAUAUGGACCAAGAGGAGAUGGAGGGAAGAGCAGCGGAAGGAGAAGCAGAGAUGGAGGAAGAAAUGACUGAGAGAGAAGAGGAAUUAAAGACACAGGGAGAGAACGAGAGAGAAGAAAGGAGGUUUAAGUGUGAGAGGAUGAAAUGAAACAUUCUACAGCAGAGGUAGAGAAAGAAAUACACGAUGAAAAUGAGGAAGGAGAAAUAGAAGAAGACAGAAAGAAAGAAAACCAUGAAGUCAAACAGUGUGAUGGAGAAAAAGAGGGAAAUAAAGGGAGGAAGAAGGAUGGAAGCAACAAAAGAGGGGUGGAGAUAAAUAAUGAUGAGUAAGAAGAGUGGUUUAAGUAUCAGAAGGAGGAAGAUGAGAAAGAAGUAGGAAAAGUAUGUGAGGAUGAAAGUCAGGGUGAGAUGAAACAAGCUGUAACAGCGGAAAGUGGAGAUGAAAGAGCAGGAAGAGGAAUGGAAGAAGAAGAUGUAGAUGAAAAGAGAAUAGAGCAAGACAGACAGAUAACAGGAGGAAAUGCAGAAGGAGUCAAAGUGGAGAAGCUGAGAGAGCAUCACGCUGAAAAUGAAAAGGAGGACCCACAAUCUGCUGAAACUCUGCAUCACGGCACAGAAAACAAAGCUCCCAGAGUCCUCACAGACGGAGAGAAAGGGGCUGUCGCUGCCAAAACCCACAGCAGGGACAUUUAUCCCACAUCGCCG